AUUGAACGCUGGCGGCAUGCUUUACACAUGCAAGUCGAACGGUAACAGGCCGCAAGGUGCUGACGAGUGGCGAACGGGUGAGUAAUGCAUCGGAACGUGCCCAGUCGUGGGGGAUAACUACUCGAAAGAGUAGCUAAUACCGCAUACGAUCUAUGGAUGAAAGCGGGGGACCGUAAGGCCUCGCGCGAUUGGAGCGGCCGCUGUCAGAUUAGGUAGUUGGUGGGGUAAAGGCUCACCAAGCCAACGAUUGGUAGCUGGUCUGAGAGGACGACCAGCCACACUGGGACUGCGGCACGGCCCAGACUCCUACGGGAGGAAGCAGUGGGGAAUUUUGGACAAUGGGCGCAAGCCUUGUCCAGCAAUGCCGCGUGAAGGAAGAAGGCCCUCGGGUUUUAAAACUCUUUUGUUCGGAACGAAACGGCUUCGGUUAAUUCCCCGGGUUAAUGACGGUACCGGAAGAAUAAGCACCGGCUAACUACGUG
rnacentral:rRNA from 1 species